rnacentral:rRNA from 1 species
UUCGAGUGGCGGACGGGUGAGUAACGCGUGGGUAACCUGCCCUACACAGGGGGAUAACACCUGGAAACAGGUGCUAAUACCGCAUAAGCGCACAGGGCCGCAUGGCCCGGUGUGAAAAACUCCGGUGGUGUAAGAUGGACCCGCGUCUGAUUAGCUUGUUGGCGGGGUAGGGGCCCACCAAGGCGACGAUCAGUAGCCGGCCUGAGAGGGCGGACGGCCACAUUGGGACUGAGACACGGCCAAACUCCUACGGAAGGCAGCAG